rnacentral:tRNA from 1 species
GUCCAGGGAUGGGAAUCGAACACACAGUAUUCCGCUUACCGUGUAGAUGUCAUGUCCACUAGGCUACCCUGGA